ACCAGACUCCUACGGGAGGCAGCAGUGGGGGAUAUUGGACAAUGGGGGGAACCCUGAUCCAGCGACGCCGCGUGAGUGAAGAAGUAUUUCGGUAUGUAAAGCUCUGUCAGCAGGGAAGAAAGAAAUGACGGUACCUGACCAAGAAGCCCCAGCUAACUACGUGCCAGCAGCCGCGGUAAUACGUAGGGGGCAAGCGUUAUCCGGAUUUACUGGGUGUAAAGGGAGCGCAGACGGCAGUGCAAGUCUGGAGUGAAAGCCCGGGGCCCAACCCCGGAACUGCUCUGGAAACUGUGCGGCUAGAGUACUGGAGGGGCAGGCGGAAUUCCUAGUGUAGCGGUGAAAUGCGUAGAUAUUAGGAGGAACACCAGUGGCGAAGGCGGCCUGCUGGACAGUAACUGACGUUGAGGCUCGAAAGCGUGGGGAGCAAACAGGAUUAGAUACCCUUGUAUU
rnacentral:rRNA from 1 species